rnacentral:misc_RNA from 1 species
GAUGAAGAACGCAGCGAAAUGCGAUAAGUAAUGUGAAUUGCAGAAUUCAGUGAAUCAUCGAAUCUUUGAACGCACAUUGCGCCCGCCAGUAUUCUGGCGGGCAUGCCUGUUCGAGCGUCAUUUCAACCAUCAAGCCCCCCGGCUUGUGUUGGGGACCUGCGGCUGCCGCAGGCCCUGAAAAGCAGUGGCGGGCUCGCUGUCACACCGAGCGUAGUAGAUCUCAUCUCGCUCAGGGCGUGCUGCGGGUUCCGGCCGUUAAACCACCUUCAUAACCCAAGGUUGACCUCGGAUCAGGUAGGAAGACCCGCUGAACUUAAGCAUAUCAAUAAGCGGAGG